UUGAGUAUAUUUAAGAUUUGGUAAUUUUCCAUUCAUGUCACGUUAACUUGUUAAAAAUGUUUUAUUCAUUACUUGAAUGAUUUAUCUCAGAUAGCAGGAAAAUAUCUUCAAUUUGGUUUGUGUAAAAAGUGUGCUACAUGUUUUUCCUUCCGUUACAUGUUUUUCCCUUCUACAUUCUGCAAGACUUGAGAAAGUGAUCCUUCCAAGCCUGGAAAUUAAUUCCAGCUCUCGGUUGAAUGUCUUUCCACAGUGAUGAAUUGAGAAAAAAAGCUCGCCAGCUGAAGAAAGAAUUACUUGCAAUCAAACAAUGAAAAGAAGAUGGUGUGAAGAAAGAAGAGGAUGUCAGUGAGGGUGACAGUAAGCCGAUCAGUGAGGCGGUGACCGAGUACCUGGAGAGCAGGAAGAAGUAUGAAGACAAAAGGAAGCAGAAACUGAAGAAAGGCUCUGGCCGAGAGUCUCAGACACUCGCUCUUUUGGAACGCUUCAAAUCCAAACUAUCAUCUGCGAUUUCGGAGUCUCCUAGCGUUCCCAUGGAAGACGUCGAGGAACUUGGCGAGGAUGACGAUAAGGGCUGGAUGGCCCAUGUUCUGAACUUUGAUGAACAAAACAGAAAGGUAAAA